rnacentral:snRNA from 1 species
UCACUUACCUGGACGGGGUCAAUGGGUGAUCAAGAAGAUCCAUGGCCUAGGUGGGUGAUCUCCAUUGCACUUUGGAGGGGUGCCCGCCUAAGGUCAGCCCAAGCGGUCGAGCCAACGUCAUAAUUUGUGUCAGUGGGGGCUUGCGUUCGCGCAGCCCUUG